CAACCAGGCUGUUGUCUUGGGGCAGCAGCAGGGGUUAGAAAUGGGGUGGCAAAUGAGAGAAGAUCAUUUCACUCACCCAAGUUCUUCCCAAGAAAAGAAACUUCACCUAUAUGAGUCGCCAAAAUGAAGCAUUUCACACAGCAGAGCAGAGCUGGAGGACUCCACAACCAUCUGGAGGAGAAGGAGGACUUCACAUCUCGUGAAGAACUCUAAGCGCUGUGGAGCUUAACAAACCCAGCGUGUGCCUUAAGAAGGAUAUAGGGGCCUGAUCAACCUCUCGCCUCUCCCCAUCGCUGCCUGAUCCCUCGACGUACCCUUCCCUGCGCGCUCAGUCCACGGAGCCUAGCAAACUUCAUGUGUGUAUGUAUCCAGAGCUCUUUCCGGGUUUAAGAGGCUCGAGUUUUCUACGGGUCUUGUUCGAGCGAGUUUUGUAACUGCAACUUAAGGCUUUUCCCUGCCUGCACCGCGGCCAUCUAUGGUGUAAGUAAAAUAAUCUUUAAUCAA